GCCGACGUGGUGGAAUUGGUAGACACACCAUCUUGAGGGGCUAGCGGAGCAAUCCGUGGGAGUUCGAGUCUCCCCGUCGGCACCA
rnacentral:tRNA from 1 species